AGUGAACGCUGGCGGCAGGCCUAAUACAUGCAAGUCGAGCGGCAGCACAGCAGAGCUUGCUCUGUGGGUGGCGAGUGGCGGACGGGUGAGGAAUACAUGGGAAUCUGCCCAGUCGUGGGGGAUAACGUAGGGAAACUUACGCUAAUACCGCAUGCGCCCUUCGGGGGAAAGCCGGGGACCUUCGGGCCUGGCGCGAUUGGAUGAGCCCAUGUCGGAUUAGCUAGUUGGCGGGGUAAUGGCCCACCAAGGCGACGAUCCGUAGCUGGUCUGAGAGGAUGAUCAGCCACACUGGAACUGAGACACGGUCCAGACUCCUACGGGAGGCAGCAGUAGGGAAUAUUGGACAAUGGGCGCAAGCCUGAUCCAGCCAUGCCGCGUGAGUGAAGAAGGCCCUCGGGUUGUAAAGCUCUUUUGUCCGGAAAGAAAAGCGCCGGGUUAAUACCCUAGUGUCCUGACGGUACCGGAAGAAUAAGCACCGGCUAACUUCGUGCCAGC
rnacentral:rRNA from 1 species